CGUCGCUUCCGGCCAAGCAAGCAUCCAGAGCUCGUGGAUCCCCGCCUGGCACCGCCUGUGACGUCAUUUCUGGUACGUGUACCUGAAGCCUGGCGUCUCGACCUCGGCGCAGCCCGUCACCAGCGGCGUCUGGGGCAGUCACCCCGCAGGACCUCGGUUUUUGCACUUGUAAAAUGAAGACAGCUGUGUCGUUGUACUUCAAAGGCUAGUGAUGGGAUGUGGUUGCUGAAAAAUGUAAAAUGUACGGCUCGUGCUGCACUUUCCAUUCCAAACGUGGGUGACAGUCCAGCCAAAAUACCCUCGAAAGAAGAACCCCAGGCGUGAUAUUUGCUUACUCUUGUCUGAAAUACUUAAGUAUAACUGUAGAAAGUGUUAAGUGAAAAGACCUGAAGGAGAGCAAAGGGCAGUAGUAAGCUUCCAUCUUGACAAAUGUAAGGAAUGUUUUAUCUGUGUCUUAAAGUCGUGUGCGUAUGUUAGAGGGGGCGUCCCAGAUUUUUUCCGUCUUUCGCAAUGUUCAACGAAAGUAAAAAAUCAUGCAAUUACUGCAUGACUUCAACAUCAAACAAGUCUGAGGUUCUGCAGGUAAAUGGUAUAUUGUUGUUUUAGCAUGAAAGUUUUCACAAAUAUGUAGGGGGCAAAACCAAAACAUACAUUAUUUUGGCUAUGGGAGGCUUCAUUUGAUACUUUAAAUUCCAUUUUCAUACUAGUCUCAAUUCAGAAAUGCUCCCUAAAGUUGUAUGACCUUGUAAAUGUUUUUCAUCAUAGCAACAGCAGGCCCAAAUAUUAAAUAUUCCUUUCUCUUCUGUGCCAAAGUUCUUCUCCUUACCCUCUGCCUAAUGUUAUUGUACACUUCCUAUUCUAUGUAUAACUGGAACCUAAAAACAAAACCAAAAACUUUAAAAAACAAAUAAUCAUUUGAAAACCAUCUACGCCUUAAAAACUAGUUGGAAAUCCAUAUUGCUCUCUAUCCUGGUAAUAAAAUCAAGUUAGGUUGCUGCUGAAGUAAACAAGUUAGUACCUGAUCUGACUCUGUAUGGUGGCAUCAGCAGGGAGUUGAGACAGUCCAAAACAGCAAAACCAAACUCGGCCAUAAAUUGAAAACAAAAAUAAAGAACCAAUUGUUAAGACUUCAUGAAUUGGCAUUCAUAAACAACACAGUUCUGCAUUAUAUGUAUUCAAAAUCUCUUCCUUCUUACUGGCAAGCAGGGC
rnacentral:lncRNA from 1 species